rnacentral:rRNA from 2 species
UGAUGGAGCACGCCGCGUGAGUGAAGAAGGGUUUCGGCUCGUAAAACUCUGUUGUUAAAGAAGAACGUAUCUGAGAGUAACUGUUCAGAUAGUGACGGUAUUUAACCAGAAAGCCACGGCUAACUACGUGCCAGCAGCCGCGGUAAUACGUAGGUGGCAAGCGUUAUCCGGAUUUAUUGGGCGUAAAGGGAGUGCAGGCGGUUAUUUAAGUCUGAUGUGAAAGCCUUCGGCUUAACCGGAGAAGGGCAUCGGAAACUGGAUAACUUGAGUGCAGAAGAGGGUAGUGGAACUCCAUGUGUAGCGGUGGAAUGCGUAGAUAUAUGGAAGAACACCAGUGGCGAAGGCGGCUACCUAGUCUGUAACUGACGCUGAGGCUCGAAAGCAUGGGUAGCAAACAGGAUUAGAUACCCUGGUAGUCCAUGCCGUAAACGAUGAAUACUAGGUGUUAGGGGGUUUCCGCCCCUUAGUGCCGCAGCUAACGCAAUAAGUAUUCCGCCUGGGGAGUACGACCGCAAGGUUGAAACUCAAAGGAAUUGACGGGGACCCGCACAAGCGGUGGAGCAUGUGGUUUAAUUCGAAGCUACGCGAAGAACCUUACCAGGGCUUGACAUCUUCUGCUAAUCCGAGAGAUCGGACGUUCCCUUCGGGGACGGAAAGACAGGUGGUGCAUGGUUGUCGUCAGCUCGUGUCGUGAGAUGUUGGGUUAAGUCCCGCAACGAGCGCAACCCUUAUGAUUAGUUGCCAGCAUUAAGUUGGGCACUCUAAUGAGACUGCCGGUGACAAACCGGGAGGAAGGGUGGGGGACGACGUCAAAUCAUCAUGCCCCUUAUGUCCUGGGCUACACACGUGCUACAAUGGAUGGUACAGCGAGCAGCGAAGUCGCGAGGCCAAGCAAAUCUCUUAAAGCCAUUCUCAGUUCGGACUGUAG